UUUUGGUAUUCAUCCUUGCAGCUCCCCGUCAGAGUUCAAAAUAUACCAUCAGCUAUUUGUAACUAUACUUCGACUACUGCAGCAAACUUGUGGCUACUUUUCUAACUAAAAGGAAUGUAAUUUAUAGAUAUUUAUCUGAUCACAAAGGAAACUAAACAUACCAAAAUGAUUUGUAUAUCAUGACACAGUUAGUAGUAGAACCUGAAAAAUCAGUUAAAGAAAAUAGUAGGGCUGUCAAAGUUAACAUGUUUCUCGGCAAAAAAAAAAUGUAUAACGUUAAUCGAGUCUAUUUCUUCACCGCACGGAACUUUUUAAGCGCACAUGCUUCCGUACGGACUUUUUUUAUGAGCAGAACACAACACGGAACACAGCUAUAAUCAAUGCUUGCGCUUUUACAGCGCUGAAGACCGUGUGGCUAGCUAGCAGAUUACUUGACCACUGACUAGGCUAUGCACAAAUGUGGAUGGCACAGGUUAGAACUGAAAAGGAAUAGGCUACUCAAAUACAUUUUUGAAAAGGAGGGGAAGAUGAGGACUCUCUUGUGCUUCCCACACGGCCACUGGGGAUCGUCCAACAGAUUGGGGUCAUACUCCCGGAUCAAGUCCCCCAGAUCAUUCCCUGCAGAGGACAAAAGGACAGUCCCGGGACCACCUGGGCUCUCUCCAGGACGGAGGAUCCACACACUGGCCUGUAUGAAUGCCACAACUACUCCAGAGAAUCCACUCACUCACAUGACUGACCUGUGUCGAUGCUGCUCUGAUUGCUGUUGGCCCGGCCCAAGCUGAGGCUGCG